UACAGAGGUCCCAAGCGUUGUUCGGAUUCACUGGGCGUAAAGGGUGCGUAGGCGGUCGGGUAAGUCUGAUGUGAAAUCUCACAGCUUAACUGUGAAACUGCAUUGGAUACUAUCCGGCUCGAGGAAUGGAGGGGAGACUGGAAUACUUGGUGUAGCAGUGAAAUGCGUAGAGAUGUGGAGGAACACCGAUGGCGAAGGCAGCCCCCUGGGUCAAGAUUGACGCUCAUGCACGAAAGCGUGGGGAGCAAACAGG
rnacentral:rRNA from 1 species